rnacentral:rRNA from 1 species
AUUGAACGCUGGCGGCAUGCUCUACACAUGCAAGUCGAACGGCAGCGCGGGCUUCGGCCUGGCGGCGAGUGGCGAACGGGUGAGUAAUGCAUCGGAACGUGCCCAGUAGUGGGGGAUAGCCCGGCGAAAGCCGGAUUAAUACCGCAUACGACCUGAGGGUGAAAGCGGGGGACCGAAAGGCCUCGCGCUAUUGGAGCGGCCGAUGUCGGAUUAGCUAGUUGGUGGGGUAAAGGCUUACCAAGGCGACGAUCCGUAGCUGGUCUGAGAGGACGACCAGCCACACUGGUACUGAGACACGGCCCAGACUCCUACGGGAGGCAGCAGUGGGGAAUUUUGGACAAAGGGGGCAACCCUGAUCCAGCCAUGCCGCGUGCGGGAAGAAGGCCUUCGGGUUGUAAACCGCUUUUGUUCGGGAAGAAAUCCUCUGGGCUAAUACCCCGGGGGGAUGACGGUACCGGAAGAAUAAGCACCGGCUAACUACGUG